AAGUCGUAACAAGGUCUCCGUAGGUGAACCUGCGGAGGGAUCAUUAACACGUUUCCAACGUUACCAACCAAACGCGAACUCGAGACGAACAAAAAAAGCUUGCUUUUUUUAAGUAGUUUCAGAUCGACCUGAAAAGAAAUAAUCGUUUAAUUCUGCUAGUGAUGGGCUUGCGCAAGUGAGCGGUGGAAUUAGACUUACAUAGCUCGACUAUGAAGGUUAUUUCUUUCUCAGGCUAAAACUUUCUUUUCAUCACAGGAAAUACAAACCCCUUUCACCCCCUAUGAUAAUUGACUGACUACCAUUUGAUUGGAGAAAUCCUAACAAAUGUUUAAACAAACUAAAGCACAACUCUUAGCAACGGAUAUCUAGGUUCUC
rnacentral:misc_RNA from 1 species